AAUUGAUAACCUAAUUAUAAACCCUUUAUGAAUCCUUUAUAGGGGUAGUCUUAUUGUAAAGUGGUGCCCUAUGUUCUGUGUUGUCUCCCCCUUAGUUUCAGGCAGGAAGAUGUGAAGAGUUUUAUAAUUCUCAAUCUGUGGAACCACACCGCAGCGGCCCCGUCUUUUACCACGCCAGAACCCCUCGUACAGGAUUUAAUAUUGAGGUCCGCCAACAGGGGAUCUGUAUCCGUCUCAAAAACAGUACGGCUCAGGACAAAAAUCUGGGAUUCUUGGAGUUACAUCUGCAGGUUAACGACAACAAAACCUGCAUGUACACAUUUGAUCGAUCUUUCAAACUCAAGGCUGGAAGAUUUGUCACUAUGUGGGCAGCAGGUUAUGGUCCCAAUCGUUCUAACACUGAGCUGGAGUGGAAGGACCUGAAGCCCUGGAAGACCGGAGACAGACUGUGGUUCACCCUCAGUUCAUUCUGGAUGUAACAUAACCUGGCAUAUUUUAACGACCCUCCUUUCUGCUCUCAUUGUGCUUAUCUUACCCUGCAUCUAUCAACAGGGGCAAAUAUACUUCUGCUCACUGUCUGCCUAGAGGCGGCUGUGGCUCAGUGGAUAGAGUGCUGGACUUUGAAUCAGGGGAUAGCAAGUUUGAGUCCCACUGCAGUCAGCAUGUCGUUGUGUCCCUCAGACACUUCACCCCAAAUUGCUCCUGUGGGAAUUUUAAAAGCGUCUAACAAAUGACAUAUAAUAAUAAUAAUAAUAAUCUUACCCUGCAUCUAUCAACAGAGGCAAAUAUACUUCUGCUCACUGUCUGCCUAGCAACAAAUAGCUGGAGUUAUUUUUGAGCCUGUCAGCAUUUUGUGAAGAAGAUGUGUGAAGUGACGGAGCAGAUUUAUCAGCAGAUUAACAGCAAAAAGACAUGAGAGAAAGUUACAACAUUAUAAGAUAUCUUAACAUUAUUCACAGGAACA